AUUGAACGCUGGCGGCAUGCCUUACACAUGCAAGUCGAACGGCAGCGGACCUUCGGGUGCCGGCGAGUGGCGAACGGGUGAGUAAUGCAUCGGAACGUGCCAUUGAGUGGGGGAUAACGUAGCGAAAGUUGCGCUAAUACCGCAUAUUCUGUGCGCAGGAAAGCAGGGGACCGCAAGGCCUUGCGCUCUUUGAGCGGCCGAUGUCAGAUUAGCUAGUUGGUGAGGUAACGGCUUACCAAGGCGACGAUCUGUAGCGGGUCUGAGAGGAUGAUCCGCCACACUGGAACUGAGACACGGUCCAGACUCCUACGGGAGGCAGCAGUGGGGAAUUUUGGACAAUGGGGGCAACCCUGAUCCAGCCAUGCCGCGUGAGUGAAGAAGGCCUUCGGGUUGUAAAGCUCUUUCGGCCGGGAAGAAAUCGCAUGGGUUAAUACCCUGUGUGGAUGACGGUACCGGCAUAAGAAGCACCGGCUAACUACGUG
rnacentral:rRNA from 1 species